rnacentral:rRNA from 1 species
ACGACGCUGGCGGCGUGCCUAAUACAUGCAAGUCGAACGGUCUUUUCUAUGGAAGCUUGCUUCCACUGAGAAGAUAGUGGCGAACGGGUGAGUAACACGUGGGUAACCUGCCCAUAAGAGGGGGAUAACAUCCGGAAACGGGUGCUAAUACCGCAUAGUUUUUCUUGAUCGCAUGAUCGGGAAAGGAAAGACGGCCUUUGUGCUGUCGCUUAUGGAUGGACCCGCGGCGUAUUAGUUAGUUGGUGAGGUAACGGCUCACCAAGACGAUGAUACGUAGCCGACCUGAGAGGGUGAUCGGCCACAUUGGGACUGAGACACGGCCCAAACUCCUACGGGAGGCAGCAGUAGGGAAUCUUCCGCAAUGGACGAAAGUCUGACGGAGCAACGCCGCGUGAGUGAAGAAGGUUUUUCCGGAUCGUAAAACUCUGUUGUCAGAGAAGAACAAGUUGGAGAGUAACUGCUCCAGCCUUGACGGUAUCUGACCAGAAAGCCACGGCUAACUACGUGCCAGCAGCUGC